UACAGAGGGUGCGAGCGUUGUCCGGAAUCACUGGGCGUAAAGGGCGCGUAGGCGGCUUGAUAAGGUUGCGGUGAAAGCCCGGGGCUCAACCCCGGGUCGGCCGUGGCAACUGUCGAGCUGGAGCACUGUAGAGGCAGGUGGAAUUCCGGGUGUAGCGGUGGAAUGCGUAGAGAUCCGGAAGAACACCGGUGGCGAAGGCGGCCUGCUGGGCAGUGGCUGACGCUGAGGCGCGACAGCGUGGGGAGCAAACAGGAUUAGAAACCCGUACGUAG
rnacentral:rRNA from 1 species